AGUGAACGCUGGCGGUAGGCCUAACACAUGCAAGUCGAACGGCAGCACAGUAAGAGCUUGCUCUUACGGGUGGCGAGUGGCGGACGGGUGAGGAAUACAUCGGAAUCUACUUUUUCGUGGGGGAUAACGUAGGGAAACUUACGCUAAUACCGCAUACGACCUACGGGUGAAAGCAGGGGAUCUUCGGACCUUGCGCGAUUGAAUGAGCCGAUGUCGGAUUAGCUAGUUGGCAGGGUAAAGGCCCACCAAGGCGUCGAUCCGUAGCUGGUCUGAGAGGAUGAUCAGCCACACUGGAACUGAGACACGGUCCAGACUCCUACGGGAGGCAGCAGUGGGGAAUAUUGGACAAUGGGCGCAAGCCUGAUCCAGCCAUACCGCGUGGGUGAAGAAGGCCUUCGGGUUGUAAAGCCCUUUUGUUGGGAAAGAAAAGCAGCAGGUUAAUACCCCGCUGUUCUGACGGUACCCAAAGAAUAAGCACCGGCUAACUUCGUG
rnacentral:rRNA from 1 species